rnacentral:rRNA from 1 species
CCUACGGGAGGCAGCAGUGGGGAAUAUUGCGCAAUGGGCGAAAGCCUGAACCAGCCAAGUAGCGUGAAGGAUGACUGCCCUACGGGUUGUAAACUUCUUUUAUAAAGGAAUAAAGUGAAGCACGUGUGCCUUUUUGUAUGUACUUUAUGAAUAAGGAUCGGCUAACUCCGUGCCAGCAGCCGCGGUAAUACGGAGGAUCCGAGCGUUAUCCGGAUUUAUUGGGUUUAAAGGGAGCGUAGAUGGGUUGUUAAGUCAGUUGUGAAAGUUUGCGGCUCAACCGUAAAAUUGCAAUUGAUACUGGCAGCCUUGAGUACAGUUGAGGUAGGCGGAAUUCGUGGUGUAGCGGUGAAAUGCUUAGAUAUCACGAAGAACUCCGAUUGCGAAGGCAGCUUACUAAACUGCCACUGACAUUGAUGCUCGAAAGUGUGGGUAUCAAACAGGAUUAGAUACCCUGGUAGUC